CACAGAUGCAGGGAUCCAGUCUCUAGAGGAGGAGGUCAGGACACAGUUACUGUGACCCAGUCACAAGAGGAGGAGGUCAGGACACAGAUACUUGGACCUAAUCACAAGAGGAGUCACAAGAAGCAGACAGGCAAUCCCAGGAAUACCAGCACAUUCUGUUGCUCUCUAGCAGUACGGAGAAAUGAUGAAAGCUACAUGGAAAAAGGAAAGAGGCUUUAGGAAACCAGACUUGAGGAUGAUAACCCUGCGGUGGAUGAAAACAGCUCUGAUGUAGAUGAAGCUACACAUGCUGAUGAAGACGUUAACAGUGACACAGGUUAGCAACUAGAAGGCUCCUAUUCUGGCUAUGAGAAAGAGUUGAAAAUCAAGGACCUGUGAUAUACAAUAGAGGACCACUCAAACACGCAGGAAAUGUACAACCCUGACCUGACCCAGUGGCCUAGGAUCUUUAUUUGUGAUUGGCGAGAAAGUCUUAUUCGGGCCAAAUGGUGCACUGGCCAAGAGCAUAGAUUGUCUCCAGGAAUGAAUACAGGAAGUCAGUAGUGUGGAUCAUACCAGCAGACCGGGGGCAGUAUUCUGUAUGAGUUACAAGACAGACAUUGAUUACACUGUCAGUCAGUAUCAGCUGAAGCUGAUUUGUU